rnacentral:rRNA from 3 species
GGACUACCCGGGUAUCUAAUCCCGUUCGCUCCCCUGGCUUUCGCGUCUCAGCGUCAGGCGGCGUCCAGGACCGCGCUUUCGCCACGGGCGUUCCUUCCGAUCUCAACGCAUUUCACCGCUCCACCGGAAGUUCCCGGUCCCCCUACGCCCCUCCAGAAGGGUCGUUGCGGCGCCCGUUCCCCGGUUGAGCCGGGGGAUUUCAGCGGCCGCCGUGCCCUCCCGCCUACACGCGCUUUAAGCCCAGUGAUUCCGAAUAACGUUCGCACGGUUCGUCUUACCGCGGCGGCUGGCAC